ACACGUAGGGGGCGAGCGUUGUUCGGAAUCAUUGGGCGUAAAGGGCGUGCAGGCGGUCGUGCAAGUCCGGCGUGAAAGACCCCGGCCCAACCGGGGGGACGCGCUGGAAACUGCAAGGCUUGAGUACAGGAGGGGACGCCGGAAUUCCAGGUGUAGGGGUGAAAUCUGUAGAUAUCUGGAAGAACACCAAUGGCGAAGGCAGGCAUCUGGCCAUGUACUGACGCUGAGACGCGAAGGUGCGGGGAGCAAACAGGUUUAGAUACCCUGGUAGUCCGCACAGUAAACGAUGUGCACCAGGUGGCGGGGGGUCGACCCCCGGUACCGUAGCUAACGCAUUAAGUGCACCGCCUGGGGAGUAUGCUCGCAAGGGUGAAACUCAAAGGAAUUGACGGGG
rnacentral:rRNA from 1 species